CAUUAUUGAAUAAACUUGAACGAGCUGUUUUUUUUUGCUGGCUUCUUUGGAGGCAUGUGCACGCUUGUCAUCUUUAUUUUUCCAAUUGUGCAUUUAUUGUAGAUCUUGAAAGUUUGAAUUAUUUUCUAUAGAUUGAGGACUGCUGUGCUUUGCAAAAGGUCAGCUUUACCUUGUGUUUCUGGAUCUACAUUUAUUACAAACCUCUUAAUUGUUUAGAAUGGUUUAAUGGGUUGAUAAUAAUAAUAAUUUAUACAACUUUCAGCAACGGAUCUCUUGGCUCUUGCAUCGAUGAAGAACGCAGCGAAAUGCGAUAAGUAAUGUGAAUUGCAGAAUUCAGUGAAUCAUCGAAUCUUUGAACGCAUCUUGCGCUCCUUGGUAUUCUGAGGAGCAUGCCUGUUUGAGUGUCAUUAAGUUCUCAACCAUAUUGAAUGAAUGAAUUCUUUUAGUGUGGAUUGGUUAUUGGGAGUUUGCAGGUCUUUUUUUUAUAUAAGGUCUGCUCUUCUAAAAUGCAUUAGUGGUAUCUGAGCAGAAGCUACUACAGAUGUGAUAAUUAUUUACAUCUUGGUCAUGCUGCAUGAGCAGAUUACACUGCUUUGAACAUAUGAAAGUGAACAUAUUUUAUGAUAUAUUUGACCUCAAAUCAGAUAGGACUACCCGCUGAACUUAAGCAUAUCAAUAAGCGGAGGAAAAGAAACUAACAAGGAUUCCCUUAGUAACUGCGAGUGAAGUGGGAAAAGCUCAAAUUUAAAAUCUGGCAGUCUUGACUGUCCGAGUUGUAAUCUAGAGAAG
rnacentral:rRNA from 1 species